AGUCGUGCGAGAAAGUAUCUUCGGAUAUGAGUAGAGCGGCGGACGGGUGAGUAACGCGUAGGAAUCUACCUAGUAGAGGGGGAUAGCCCGAGGAAACUCGGAUUAAUACCGUAUACCUCCUUUGGGAGAAAGAGGGCCUCUCUUGAUGCUCUCGCUAUUAGAUGAGCCUGCGUAAGAUUAGCUAGUUGGUAAGGUAAUGGCUUACCAAGGCUACGAUCUUUAGCUGGUCUGAGAGGACGAUCAGCCACAUUGGGACUGAGACACGGCCCAGACUCCUACGGGAGGCAGCAGUGGGGAAUAUUGGACAAUGGGCGCAAGCCUGAUCCAGCCAUACCGCGUGUGUGAAGAAGGCCUUCGGGUUGUAAAGCACUUUAAGCAGGGAGAAAAAGCUAUAAGUUAAUACCUUAUAGCCGUGAUGUUACCUGCAGAAUAAGCACCGGCUAAUUCCGUGCCAGCAGCCGCGGUAAUACGGAAGGUGCAAGCGUUAAUCGGAAUUACUGGGCGUAAAGCGCGCGUAGGUGGUUUGUUAAGUUGGAUGUGAAAGCCCUGGGCUCAACCUAGGAACUGCAUCCAAAACUAACUCACUAGAGUACGAUAGAGGGAGGUAGAAUUCAUAGUGUAGCGGUGGAAUGCGUAGAUAUUAUGAAGAAUACCAGUGGCGAAGGCGGCCUCCUGGAUCUGUACUGACACUGAGGUGCGAAAGCGUGGGUAGCGAACAGGAUUAGAUACCCUGGUAGUCCACGCCGUAAACGAUGACAACUAGCUGUUGGGAGACAAUGUCUUUCAGUGGCGCAGCUAACGUUUUAAGUUGUCCGCCUGGGGAGUACGGCCGCAAGGCUAAAACUCAAAUGAAUUUGACGGGGACCCGCACAAGCGGUGGAGCAUGUGGUUUAAUUCGAUGCAACGCGAAAAACCUUACCUACUCU
rnacentral:rRNA from 1 species